rnacentral:ncRNA from 1 species
AACUUUAGGGGUGUCCAUUCGGACUGAGAUUAUACCCUCAAGACCUGAUCCUGGUAAUGCUGGCGAAGGGAAAAGUA